AAGCCAUGGUGAGGGCAUAAUCUCAUAAACUCCUUGAACCUAUCCCAUGCUUUAUAAAAUCAUUCACUAUCUCUUUGAGAAAAACUAGUGAUUUCAUUCCUCAAUUG